rnacentral:lncRNA from 1 species
UCAAUCCUCUCUCUUUCAAUGUCAGUUUUCUCCGUAAAUACAAACUCAUGGAUUCUCUCUCAUCAGUUUCUCCGUUGAUCGUUCUUCUGAGUGAUCAAUAGGAAUUUUUUUGCAUCUAUUUUCUUCAAAGAUUUUGGAGAAUCAAUGAUAAAGAUGGGCAAAAUUGAAGUCCUUACUGUAAAAGUCAAGGAAAGAAUCUUUGAGGAGCACAUAUUCUAUCACCAUUUGUAUCACUCAAGCAGAAAGCUUUUCUUGGGGAAAUAUGGAUUGAAGUCUGCCUGAUUUACGCCACUCUACCACCUUUCUUUGCCUCCCACGAACAACCCGAUUCGUGCCUUCAAGGAACAUAAACGUGAGGUACGAUAUUAGGGUUGUUCUUGAACAAGGCGACAGAGUUUGGGGCUGAGUAACUUAAAGAUACUGUUACCUUUUUUAAUGUAUUUUCAAUGUAUUUUGCUAUAUUUUCAUGUAUUUCAUUAUAUUCAUUGUCUUUUUUUUUCAUUGUAUUUCAGUGUAUCUCGCUAUAUUCCAUGUAUUUCAUUGUAUUCAAUAUCCC